rnacentral:rRNA from 1 species
GACGAACGCUGGCGGCGUGCUUAACACAUGCAAGUCGAGCGGUAAGGCCCUUUCGGGGGUACGACGAGCGGCGAACGGGUGAGUAACACGUGGGUGACCUGCCCUCCAGCUCUGGGAUAAGCCUGGGAAACUGGGUCUAAUACUGGAUAUGACUCCACGGUGCAUGUCGUGGGGUGGAAAGCCUUGUGCGGCUGAGGAUGGGCCCGCGGCCUAUCAGCUUGUUGGUGGGGUGAUGGCCUACCAAGGCGACGACGGGUAGCCGGCCUGAGAGGGCGACCGGCCACACUGGGACUGAGACACGGCCCAGACUCCUACGGGAGGCAGCAGUGGGGAAGUCUUGCGCAAUGGGCGAAAACCUGACGCAGCGACGCCGCGUGAGGGAUGACGGCCUC